rnacentral:rRNA from 1 species
AACGAACGCUGGCGGCAGGCUUAACACAUGCAAGUCGAACGCCCCGCAAGGGGAGUGGCAGACGGGUGAGUAACGCGUGGGAACGUGCCCUUCGCUUCGGAAUAGCCCCGGGAAACUGGGAGUAAUACCGGAUACGCCGUAUUGGGAAAGAUUUAUCGGCGAAGGAUCGGCCCGCGUUGGAUUAGCUAGUUGGAGGUGUAAUGGACCCCCAAGGCUACGAUCCAUAGCUGGUCUGAGAGGAUGAUCAGCCAUACUGGGAAUGAGACACGGCCCAGAGUCCUACGGGAGGCAGCAGGGGGGAAUCUUGGACAAUGGGCGCAAGCCUGAUCCAGCCAUGCCGCGUGAGUGAAGAAGGCCUUAGGGUUGUAAAACUCUUUCGCCGGAGAAGAUAAUGACGGUAUCCGGAGAAGAAGCCCCGGCUAACUUCGUGCCAGCCGCCGCCGUAAGAC